CUCUUUUUGUGUCUCCCCAGUCGAGGAACAGUGGCCAGCAAGGGGACACAGAUGGCGCCCGGCGGCUCGGACGCAUGGCCAGGCUGCUCAGCAUCGUCUCCAUUGUGCUGGGGACCAUCAUCAUCGUGCUCUACAUUUCACUCAGCGUCAGAGGUUCCUAGAAGAUGUUUCAGCAUGCAAAUACCUUGAAGAGGAGGAAGACAACUUUCCUUUUGGGGUUUUUACUUUCAGCCUUGCAACAAAACAAAAAAUUGUCACAGUGUAGGUGGGCAGCCCUAGACAGUCUGCUCUGGAGCGCCGUCGGAAGGAACGCAUGCUUCAAUUCACCGCCUCUUGGGAAUGAGCCUGUGCGAGGGAUGGGAUAAAAAUCACCCUGAGUAGGAAUGGGAGAGGCCACGUGGAGAGGAGAAAGGGGAAAUCCACUACCUCAUUCCCCUCCAGCAGAACUCAUGGAGUGGGGAGACAACUAAAGUGCAAGAGGAGGAGAGAGUCUCCAGAAUGAAGCUGGUUUUGGAAGGAAAAUACAAGGCAAGAACGGGAUGUUUUGAGGAGUCCUCCUGAGAAUUUUGGCACAAGUCACUGGAUUUUUUGGGGGGUUGUUGGUUUUUAAAUCGUCAAAUUCUCUGUCUCUACAAAAACAAAACAAAAACAACGAAACAAAGCUCAAACUGCCAUCAGGAGCUGAGAGCUGUUGCACAGAGGAGGAGGGAGUGCAGAGCUGCAGAAGGACCAUGGCUCUGCUCCGAAUGAAACGCAGCUGCCAAAGCUGGAGGAUGUGGUGGGUGCUUUUGUAUUUUUGAUGAAAAAAAAAAGAAAAAAAAAAAAAAGAAAAAAAAAAGAGACAAUGACCAUUUGCAUGCCUUUGGGAAUGUUCUCCAUGUCUGCUCCUACAAGCUCUUUUAUCACUUAGGGCAGAUGUCAGAGCUGGCAGAGCAGGAUGUUGCUGCAUGAGAACCCCAGGCUCCUCCUCACCCCCAUCCCAUGGUGGGCUUUUUAAUGGAAGGCAGAAUCAGGCGUUCCCUGUGAACCCACACAUUUCUCUGUGCACCCAAAGGGAGCUUAGCACCCCUGGCACCGAGACAAGAGCCUGGUUAAUGCCCAGCAGCAGCACCACGGCACAGAGAGCCCGUUCUACCCAUGCACACCCCGAUGCCACGGCACGUCUGUCCUGCAGAGGCUCAGCAUGAUCCAGCCCCCACCACUGCCAGUGCUCAUCCCCCCAACCCUCUGGGGCUUUGGCUUAGGGCCUUGCAGGAGAUUUUCAGGGGCAUGAAGGAGUUUUAGAUUCCUGCUCCUCUCCUUGCAUCUCUCACACAGCUCUUCUGCAGCUCUGGAAAUCUCCGGCGUCCCCAGAGCUGCCUGAGGUCAGUUCCACGAGUCCUAUUAUUUUUUAAUGUUUUGUAUUUAACAUAACAAGAAAACAGACUCUGCUCCUCCCACUCUGUCUGUAGGUACCACAGGACCUGCCAUGUCUUCCACACCAUCCCCGUGGGACCCACUCCCCACACGCUCUCUCGAGGCUCCAUCCAGCCCCAGCCCUUCUCCUCCCCACUCACCCCUCAUUGCUGCGGGCACUUCUCGGGGUUGGCCCUCUACCCACUCACCCAGACUAUGCAAAGCUCCAUGGCCUGUUGUUUUAGUCAGGCUUUGUGACUUCUGGCCACAUCCAUUGGCUCCCUGAGUCUCUUUGAUCCAAACUUUGGGGACACAUCACCUAGAGCUGCACUGCCCGGCCUUUCUGUUGUCUCCAGCUGACAACCUGCGACAUAAAAGCAUGGACUGACUGAGAAAUGUUGUCCUUCAGGGCACUUCUGCUCCCUAACAUCCAUCUUCUGAAAAACACCCCCAAUUUACACCAAAUUCAAUGCUUCCCAGGGCUUGUCUACAUGGAGAAUCCACCAAAAGAAACUUCACAACAUGGUAAUUGCUAGGCACUAACUCCUUCCCUGGGCUCUAAAUGGGCACAUGGGUUAGCACAGGGUAGGGGUGAUGUGUAAGUCCUCGCUGUAGUUACUCUGUAGUAAUUAAUGAGCAAAGCCACAGGCAUCUCUGUGAAAAUUCUCCUGUCACCUUUUUGAUUGCUCCUCUUUCAAUUGUUUUUUUUUUCUUCUAGAUGUUGUUUGAAUCCAGGGGGUGACAAAGCCAAAUCCCCCAGGCAUGCUGUCAAUAUUUUUCUCUCCAUUGGAAGGGAUUCCAGGGACUCACAGCAAGAGCACAUCACUACAGCACUUUCUUGGGCUCCAUUCCCACCCAGCUCUUUGUCAGCACUCCAUCACCACUGCUGGUGUCCAAAAUGGACCAAAUCUGCAACUUUUCUUUUGCAAUUUAUCUUUUGUGAGUUCAGCAAACAGGGACUGCUGAACAUUGCUGGGUGGGAGCUCCCUCCUCCAUCCUCUGUCCAGGCACUGCAUCUUUUCCUCCUGAGCCCUUCAGAACCCCUCCCUUGGAUGUUCAGACUUUAAUCUUAUGGCUAUUGGAAUCCCAUCAAAACCCCCAAAUGUUUCCUUCUUUAACUCUUGGUCCCAAAAGCUGCUUGCUGGGGAACACAUGGGGUGUUUUUUGGAGCUACAAAAGGGCAGUGCUGUCUGUCCCUGAAUCUCCUGCCCUUUGCUCUUGGAGCUGCUGGAAUUCAGUUGAUGGGAAAAGCCCAGAAAACUCCUCCUUGGGCAGGAAGGGCCCUUUUUCAGGGAAAAGUGCUGGAGGGAGUUAUAGGACUUGAGAGCAUUUAAGUAAGAAUUCAAAUGCUCUUUUAUCAUUAUAUAAAGCCUUUCAUCUAAAGUGCUUCUCUGCAUCCAAAGGAUUAAACCCUGCCACCCCCCACGAGGUGGGUUCACAUUACUGCUCUAAUUGCAGGGAUGGCAAAUGCUCAGGCACUGAGCAGUUCCCAAAUCAACCCCCUUUUCUUCCUCCUCCCUAACAGAACCGUGUAUCAGCACAGAUUUCCUUGGAAUCUGGUUGUUUUUUUUUUCAGUGGGAUUAGACAAACUAUACCCCACUGUGGUUCCAAAUGGGAUUCCUGCAGCCAGAGGAAGGUGAGGCAGCUGCAGUGGUCCUUGCCAGGAGAAGUCCCAGGCCAGGGCAGCACAAAGCAGUGGAUUCCCCUGGAUGCAGGAGAAGGCAGAAGAUUCCCCCAAAAUCCCCAAGGUGAUGAUUUGUUUGUGCCUCCUGUCUCAUUGGACAGCUCAGGUGAUGCUUCUCACCUCACUAUUAUGUAUGAUAACAAAAGAGAAGAACUAAGACACUUGAAUCCCUUUCAUUCUAAAAUCUUCCUGAAUAGAUACAAUUGUACUGCAGCCUUGAACUCAGCUUUUUUUUCUUAUCCUGCAUUUAAAUCCAGAGGAAAGCCUCUACAGUUAUCCCUGAUCCGCUUGUGACCUGCCUCUCCAGUGCUGGAGAGAUAAACUCUCCAGGGACAUCCAGAAAGUCCCUUCUCCCUGCUCCCCUAUCAACUUCUCCAUACAUUUUGCAGCCUGUUUUGCAAAGUUUUUGCCACUUUGCUUUCCCCAUUCCCCACAGUUUUAUCCCAGCUCAGCUCCCUCUUUGGCUUUUUCUGGGUGGAAUUUGCUCAUAUUUGUGAAGGAAGAGGUUGCAGGGCCCCCAGCCCUCGGCACACACCUCACCUGUGCUGUGUUACAGGGAGGUUGAUGAUGGCAGAACUUCAUCCUGAGCCCACCAGGCACAGUCACCCCUUUGACUAAAUCUACAGGGAGCUCCCCAGAACUCGGCUUUUAGCACACAGGGGGGCAACCACAAAAACUGUGCCAUGAGCCUUUUCCUCUCCAGCCCCACCAGCAGCCCUGUUUCCUAUCCCCCAGCCCUUUGCCACCUGCUGCAGCCUCCUCUGAGCACUCAUGUCAGAAUUUUCUGUGUUUGCAACCAAAACAGUCAUGAAAUCCUCAGGCUCUGGCCAACUUCUCCCUGCUGGUGAAGGAAAGGUGAGAGCAGGGUGACAAUGCAGCCCUACCUGACAGGGGAGCUGAGCUGGUAGGAGGGGAGCUCACUGAAGGGAUGGAGAAGGUGGGAAAUGUCUGUAAAUGUAAGCUGGAGUAGGAGUUACCAUGGACAAGAGUGAGGUCCUGGUGGGAUGUAAAUCCAUGGGAAGGAGCCUCUGAGCAGAGCAUCGGGGCUGGUGGCACCUCCCUGGCACUGCUGUCCCUGGGCAGAACUGGGCUCUGUGGGGUGGCACAGAAGGGCUGCUGGCUGCAUCAAGGCUGGAUUGAAGCUUUAAGCUGAACCAGCAACAAUCUUGGCUUGGUUUUGUAGCAGCUCCUGGUGUGAUGCAGUGGCUGAGGGUGAGGAAAGGUCUGGCCCAAGUCAGUGGAUGUCAGCACCACGCUGGGUGCUGCCUGCAGACUCCAGAGGGAUCUGAGCACCAGCAGAGGAAAGAAAGCCACCAAAGGAUUUCCAAUUUUGCUGUGUUAAGGAUGGCUUUGCUUUUUCUGGCUGUUUUUUCACCCUGUUCCAGUUCACUCCUCUCUUUGCUGGUUUUGCCACUCCGUCCCUCAGCAUUCCCAACCCCAGAGCAUUCCUGAGCACCACAGCUCCUUCCUCCCAUCCUCUGCCUCUCCUUUAACCCAAACAGGUCUUGCUGCAACGAGAUCUCAUCUCUGGGCUCUGCUGGAAGGGUUAGAGAGGGCAGGGAACCUCUGACCCAGCUCCAGCACAGGGUACCUCACCUUCCCCACACAGAUUUCUCCAUGUAGACAAGGGGAGCAGAUCCUGCCUUUUAAAUAGAAUGGAAUCUCCCUUUCCCUUCGCUCUGAGCCCAGGGAGAGGCUGCAGAAAGGCACCCAUCGGGCUGGCCCCACCCUUGGCCUGUCACUUUGUUACUCUCACACAACCACAGCCCGGGUUGCACUGUCAAGCUGAAAUAAUUCAGAUUUAAGCUCGUUUUCCUUUCAGUAUACAGCCUUUAGUUUUGGCAAAAACCAGUUAGGUUUGGGCUGAAAAACUCCCCUGCUUGGGCACAAGCCAAGGGGGUGUGUGUGUGGGAAAGCAGCCUUUUCAAAGUGGGAAUAUUUGUAAAGCAUUUGCUGACACCAGUAGGUAGCAAAAUUCCAACCUAUCCAGGAUUCUACCCAUCCAGGAUAAGAAACAUCAGAAAGGGAACGUGUGCAGGAUUCACCAAGGCAACUCUGACAGCGCUUGGGAGCCCUUGUUAGAAGGUGCCAGGACCUGAUCCUUGGCAUGGAUCCAUGGCAGGGUCCAUCCCCUCCACUGGGAGAGCCACAGCUCACACACAGCAUGAACACACCAGGAAUUGCAGCUGGGUGCUUCUCUUUGCUGACAAAUGUUUCUUUUUCUGCAGGAUGGUAUGGUAUAUCUUAUAUACUUUCUUUGUAUUUCUUGGCAUGAGAAAAAAAAAAAAAAUAAUUAAAAUGUAACAUGCAUGGUCAAA